UCAUCCAGGCCCGGUACUCGUCAGAGGUGAAGAUGGAGGGCGAGGAGGGAAGCCGCGCUGCAAGCACACAGUCUCGUUAUUAACCAACCUCGCUCACGCUGCUCCUCUUAACACUAACACCACUUUAACUCAACACUAUUCAAGCACAUCAUUUUGGAAAUGAAAAAAAAGCAUUAUACGUGUGAUCUUUGGUGGGAGGACAUAACGCCAGAGACUAGAGCAGCUGUCCGGACGCCUACGGCCUCCGGCUUAUUCUCACCAAGACUUCAGCAUCUCCCACUGCUGAAACUCACUCCCAAUGAGCCCGCCCCAUACCCCAGGUGGGACUGGCGAGCACGGAUGCGAGAGACAUGCUCCUACGGUGGCAGGUGUGGCACUGGCCGGUCACCGCCCGCCUGUAAACACCUCAACUUUUCCUGCGCAGUGGACGUGCGCAUUUCAUGCCCUCCACUACUGUAAUUGUUUUAGUAAACUGAAAACGCAGUGGGUACUGUUUUAUUUCCUUAACUAUUUAUCAAAAUAUAGUGUUGAUAUAUUGGCACGAAAAUAUAUAAAAGAAAAUAUGUUUAAUAACCUAUGUAUUAUAAAAUUACAAUCCCUGAGACGCCAUCUUGGAUUCGCGUAUUCUGGGGGCAGAUUCACGAAGCAGUUACGCAAGUACUUACGAAC